CCAUUUCUACACGACAAAGCCGUCCAUAGUGUCCAAGUCACUUGACCUGCAUUUUUCAUGUCUGCGAAAGAAGUUUCCAUUUGAGGCGCUGUCCCUGAUUUGGCUCCGCCCUGUGACGACAACGGACCAGCCCGGCCCUCUGGCCGACCUCGCUUUGAGGCUUAUAAAAGCGGUCACCAGGAAGGUGGCGCAUGACAAGGACAGGUUACAUCGUCAUCAUGUCGUCACCAGGGUGUCAAGAAGGACAGACACUCCCACAAUGCGGAUGAAGGACUGUCAGACUUUGAAAUUUCCUCCGCGAGCGAAUAUGGGGCGAUUUAGGAAUUUCCUUUCAGUGAACACGCCCCGCACUGUGCCGCCGCCGCCUCCGCCGCCGCCAACAUCCCUAAAGGGUUGAAGCGUUGAUAGGAAUAGAAACAGGACGGGUAAGCAUUGCAACGUGUUUUCUGGGGUUUUGUUUGAGAGACCCAUAAAUGUAUAACGCUGUGAUAAGCCGGGCUGUACAUAUAAAUGAAUGAAUGAAUGAAUGAAUGAAUGAAUGAAUAAAUAAAUAAAUAAAUAAUAGUAAAUGU